rnacentral:tmRNA from 1 species
GGGGGUGUCACGGUUUCGACGGGGAUAGUUGAAGCUGUAGAAGCGUACCGAGGUUCCUACAGGCCUCGUUAAACAGGUAGGAAACAUAUAAUCGCAAACAAUUACGAUUACGCUUUAGCCGCAUAGCGUCGGCUAACGUCCUACUGGCUUUGCCUGCCUGGCCAGAUCAGGGCGUCAUUUAGACAGGAUAGCUGAUUUUUCUCGCCCGGGGGAAAUGAGGCAAAAACUCACUGGGCUAGCCGACUGUUUACCCUGCCUUUGGGGGAUUCGGAAGGCGAAUUCAAAUCAAAGGAUAUGUACGUAGAAACUGCAGUGGAAUAUUUUCGGACGCGGGUUCAACUCCCGCCACCUCCACCA